UGAAGAGUCAACUUAUCAUAACCUGCAGUGUGAAAUUCCUCUCCCUUGAGACUGAUGCUUUCCAUUGCUUAACAGGUUUAGAUUGUGUCAUUUAUCCAACGAUCACUAAUUUAAUCAAAGGAAUUUUCUGAGAAGUGACUGUGUCUUACUCUGCAGCACAACUACUACAUUUAUAGCGAUCCAAAAUGAAAUUGAAACAGAUUGACUUACAUUCCCACUAGAAAUGUAUAAGGACACCAACACUUUAACUUCUUGCCAAAAAGUGUUAUGGGAAUCAGAAUCAGUCUAUGAUGCAUGUAGGCAAUACUGGAGAACACUAAAAAGAGGUAAAGAAAAAUAAAAAUCUGACCUAAU
rnacentral:lncRNA from 12 species